GAUGAACGCUGGCGGCGUGCCUAAUACAUGCAAGUCGAGCGAACGGACGAGAAUCUUUCUUCUCUGAUGUUAGCGGCGGACGGGUGAGUAACACGUGGAUAACCUACCUAUAAGACUGGGAUAACUUCGGGAAACCGGAGCUAAUACCGGAUAAUAUUUUGAACCGCAUGGUUCAAAAGUGAAAGACGGUCUUGCUGUCACUUAUAGAUGGAUCCGCGCUGCAUUAGCUAGUUGGUAAGGUAACGGCUUACCAAGGCAACGAUGCAUAGCCGACCUGAGAGGGUGAUCGGCCACACUGGAACUGAGACACGGUCCAGACUCCUACGGGAGGCAGCAGUAGGGAAUCUUCCGCAAUGGGCGAAAGCCUGACGGGGCAACGCCGCGUGAGUGAUGAAGGUCUUCGGAUCGUAAAACUCUGUUAUUAGGGAAGAACAUAUGUGUAAGUAACUGUGCACAUCUUGACGGUACCUAAUCAGAAAGCCACGGCUAACUACGUG
rnacentral:rRNA from 1 species